AAGUGUACCUGGGGGCACCUGAGUGGAGUCAACACCAGAAAACUGGAAGAAAGUAGACCAACACCUAUACCACCACAGGCAGGCACUGUUGGGAGGCAAGUUACAGGGAGGAGUGCCCAGAGAGGGCAACUCAGUUAAAUACACAAAACACUUCUGUGUUAAAACAUUUAAUCAGGCUAAAAUACAAUUUAACAAGCCUAAGCAAGACAACAACAAUGGAGACCUAGAGUAUAUUAAAAAGCAGGAAAAAAAACUCCUGGGUCCACUCUACUAAAUUGCAGACCCCAUACUCAGCCUGUUCUCACUCCCGAGGCGUAAUAUAGUGACAAUUUAUCAAGUCCUGAGGAACGUGAAAGAUGACCUUCUGCGUUCUUAUGCUACACGCUGGGUUAUGGAUGAAAUCCAGCAGAAUGACACUCUGCUGUAAUAGACGUUCCAGCCAUGUAUUCCAGCCUGAACCCUAAACUUAUCCCUAACGCUAACCAGUGCUUUAAUGACGUUAGAUAGUGUUUUCCAAAGCGAUCUAAGUAAAAUGAAUGUACGUGUGUAGAUUAAUUCCAAACAGUUCUCAUGUUUAACCCAGGCAAGGAGUGACUGACUGAAUUCAGGCCAAUCUUUUUUUUUUUUCUUUUGUUUGUCCAGUUUGGCUCUUUUGCCAUCAGAAUUAUUGUCUAAAGGCAAAGAAAGAUGCCCAACGGAUUUACUUUACCAAAUGGACCAUCCCAGCCUUGCCGUAAUCGUCUAUUUGAUUCACCUUUUAUUGUUUAUUUUAUUUUAUUUUCACUUCCUAAAUAUGGGACAGACAUGACUGGGGAUAAGAAAGAGGGGGGAAAAACAGCGGAGAAGAGGGAUGGUGAUAAAGGGCAAAAAACAAAAACAAACAAAAUAAGCAGACAAAAAAUACAUAUAUCAAUCACCUGGAUCACCUGUUGAGAAAGAAAAAAGAGAAAACAAGCAAAAAAAAAAGAGAGCAAUAUAAUAAACAACAUCAUCAUGAUAAUCUAUGUGAAUAUAACCUCCAAACCGUGGAGGGCCUGAGAUGUCCCCAGAGAGGUGGCGUCUGAUACCCGACCUGACAUAAAGACACAGACAUACAGGCACACACAGAUGCAAACAUCCAUUCCCACCCUCAUGCUCUCAUAUGCAAAUACUCAGCACUCAUGUGAGAAGGCUCCAAACCUCACUCUGCCACUGUGGGAUAAAAUUGAGGCACAGGCAGCCAGAGGGGGGCAGAGGGGGGGAUGCCUGACUUUGACUAUAGUAUAUACAGUAAGGUAUAAACGAGAAGGUAUAAAAUGUCACUGUAUGUGUAUUUGUGUGAAUGUGUAUAUCCAUCCAUCCAUCCAUUCGCUUCCGCUUAUCCUUUUCAGGGUCGCGGGGGGCGCUGGAGCCUAUCCCAGCUGUCUGUAGGGCGAGAGGCGGGGUACACCCUGGACAGGUCACCAGUCUGUCGCAGGGCUAACACACAGGGACAGACAACCAUUCACACUCACAUUCAUUCACACCUAAUGGCAAUUUGGAUUAUCCAAUUAACCUAUCCCCACAAACUGCAUGUCUUUGGACGGUGGCAAGAAGCCAAGGCAGAAGAAUGUGUAUAGAUUUUUUAAAAUUUU
ensembl:lncRNA